GAUUAAGUUAUUAAGGGCGCACGGUGGAUGCCUUGGCACUAGAAGCCGAUGAAGGACGUUACUAACGACGAUAUGCUUUGGGGAGCUGUAAGUAAGCUUUGAUCCAGAGAUUUCCGAAUGGGGAAACCCAGCAUGAGUUAUGUCAUGUUAUCGAUAUGUGAAUACAUAGCAUAUCAGAAGGCACACCCGGAGAACUGAAACAUCUUAGUACCCGGAGGAAGAGAAAGAAAAUUCGAUUCCCUUAGUAGCGGCGAGCGAAACGGGAAGAGCCCAAACCAACAAGCUUGCUUGUUGGGGUUGUAGGACACUCUAUACGGAGUUACAAAGGACGACAUUAGACGAAUCAUCUGGAAAGAUGAAUCAAAGAAGGUAAUAAUCCUGUAGUCGAAAAUGUUGUCUCUCUUGAGUGGAUCCUGAGUACGACGGAGCACGUGAAAUUCCGUCGGAAUCUGGGAGGACCAUCUCCUAAGGCUAAAUACUCUCUAGUGACCGAUAGUGAACCAGUACCGUGAGGGAAAGGUGAAAAGCACCCCGGAAGGGGAGUGAAAUAGAACCUGAAACCGUGUGCUUACAAGUAGUCAGAGCCCGUUAAUGGGUGAUGGCGUGCCUUUUGUAGAAUGAACCGGCGAGUUACGAUUUGAUGCAAGGUUAAGCAGUAAAUGUGGAGCCGUAGCGAAAGCGAGUCUGAAUAGGGCGUUUAGUAUUUGGUCGUAGACCCGAAACCAGGUGAUCUACCCUUGGUCAGGUUGAAGUUCAGGUAACACUGAAUGGAGGACCGAACCGACUUACGUUGAAAAGUGAGCGGAUGAACUGAGGGUAGCGGAGAAAUUCCAAUCGAACCUGGAGAUAGCUGGUUCUCUCCGAAAUAGCUUUAGGGCUAGCCUCAAGUGAUGAUUAUUGGAGGUAGAGCACUGUUUGGACGAGGGGCCCCUCUCGGGUUACCGAAUUCAGACAAACUCCGAAUGCCAAUUAAUUUAACUUGGGAGUCAGAACAUGGGUGAUAAGGUCCGUGUUCGAAAGGGAAACAGCCCAGACCACCAGCUAAGGUCCCAAAAUAUAUGUUAAGUGGAAAAGGAUGUGGCGUUGCCCAGACAACUAGGAUGUUGGCUUAGAAGCAGCCAUCAUUUAAAGAGUGCGUAAUAGCUCACUAGUCGAGUGACACUGCGCCGAAAAUGUACCGGGGCUAAACAUAUUACCGAAGCUGUGGAUUGUCCUUUGGACAAUGGUAGGAGAGCGUUCUAAGGGCGUUGAAGCAUGAUCGUAAGGACAUGUGGAGCGCUUAGAAGUGAGAAUGCCGGUGUGAGUAGCGAAAGACGGGUGAGAAUCCCGUCCACCGAUUGACUAAGGUUUCCAGAGGAAGGCUCGUCCGCUCUGGGUUAGUCGGGUCCUAAGCUGAGGCCGACAGGCGUAGGCGAUGGAUAACAGGUUGAUAUUCCUGUACCACCUAUAAUCGUUUUAAUCGAUGGGGGGACGCAGUAGGAUAGGCGAAGCGUGCGAUUGGAUUGCACGUCUAAGCAGUAAGGCUGAGUAUUAGGCAAAUCCGGUACUCGUUAAGGCUGAGCUGUGAUGGGGAGAAGACAUUGUNNNNNNNNNNNNNNNNNNNNNNNNNNNNNNNNNNNNNNNNNNNNNNNNNNNNNNNNNNNNNNNNNNNNNNNNNNNNNNNNNNNNNNNNNNNNNNNNNNNGCUCUUUAGGGUUAACGCCCAGAAGAGCCGCAGUGAAUAGGCCCAAGCGACUGUUUAUCAAAAACACAGGUCUCUGCUAAACCGUAAGGUGAUGUAUAGGGGCUGACGCCUGCCCGGUGCUGGAAGGUUAAGAGGAGUGGUUAGCUUCUGCGAAGCUACGAAUCGAAGCCCCAGUAAACGGCGGCCGUAACUAUAACGGUCCUAAGGUAGCGAAAUUCCUUGUCGGGUAAGUUCCGACCCGCACGAAAGGCGUAACGAUUUGGGCACUGUCUCAACGAGAGACUCGGUGAAAUCAUAGUACCUGUGAAGAUGCAGGUUACCCGCGACAGGACGGAAAGACCCCGUGGAGCUUUACUGUAGCCUGAUAUUGAAAUUCGGCACAGCUUGUACAGGAUAGGUAGGAGCCUUUGAAACGUGAGCGCUAGCUUACGUGGAGGCGCUGGUGGGAUACUACCCUAGCUGUGUUGGCUUUCUAACCCGCACCACUUAUCGUGGUGGGAGACAGUGUCAGGCGGGCAGUUUGACUGGGGCGGUCGCCUCCUAAAAGGUAACGGAGGCGCUCAAAGGUUCCCUCAGAAUGGUUGGAAAUCAUUCAUAGAGUGUAAAGGCAUAAGGGAGCUUGACUGCGAGACCUACAAGUCGAGCAGGGUCGAAAGACGGACUUAGUGAUCCGGUGGUUCCGCAUGGAAGGGCCAUCGCUCAACGGAUAAAAGCUACCCCGGGGAUAACAGGCUUAUCUCCCCCAAGAGUUCACAUCGACGGGGAGGUUUGGCACCUCGAUGUCGGCUCAUCGCAUCCUGGGGCUGUAGUCGGUCCCAAGGGUUGGGCUGUUCGCCCAUUAAAGCGGUACGCGAGCUGGGUUCAGAACGUCGUGAGACAGUUCGGUCCCUAUCCGUCGUGGGCGUAGGAAAUUUGAGAGGAGCUGUCCUUAGUACGAGAGGACCGGGAUGGACAUACCUCUGGUGUACCAGUUGUCGUGCCAACGGCAUAGCUGGGUAGCUAUGUGUGGACGGGAUAAGUGCUGAAAGCAUCUAAGCAUGAAGCCCCCCUCAAGAUGAGAUUUCCCAACUUCGGUUAUAAGAUCCCUCAAAGAUGAUGAGGUUAAUAGGUUCGAGGUGGAAGCAUGGUGACAUGUGGAGCUGACGAAUACUAAUCGAUCGAAGACUUAAUCAA
rnacentral:rRNA from 1 species